ACGGUGAAAGCCUCCUUCUCUUUCGGGGCUGAGCAGCAGGUGCUGCAUGGCUGUNGUCAGCUCGUGUCGUGAGAUGUUGGGUUAGGUCCCGCAACGAGCGCAACCCUCGCCCUCUGUUGCUACCGGGUAAUGCUGGGCACUCUGAGGGGACUGCCCCGGUGAACGGGGAGGAAGGUGGGGAUGACGUCGAGUCCUCAUGGCCUUUAUAUCCAGGGCUACACACGUGCUACAAUGGUCAGGACAAAGGGAAGCUACCUUGCAAGAGGACGCAAAUCCCAAAAACCUGGUCUUAGUUCGGAUGGUCGGCUGCAACUCGCCGGCCUGAAGCUGGAAUCGCUAGUAAUCGGAGAUCAGCACGCUCCGGUGAAUACGUUCCCGGGCCUUGUACACACCGCCCGUCACACCACGAAAGCUGCGUGUACCAGAAGUCGCUGGGCCAACCCCAUUGGGGGAGGUCAG
rnacentral:rRNA from 1 species